rnacentral:misc_RNA from 1 species
CUGGGGAGGUUACAAACUGUGGUGAAGGCGGCACCAGUAACAACUCCCAGGACCACCAAUAUGACAUUCUUGGUUUCUAUGGUUUCCUUUAUUACGUGUGCUCCCACAGGCAAUGACCGUCCUUCAAGGGCACCGGCUUCACGCAGGAUGCGGCCAAUGUCCUGUGUAGUAAUAUUCCCGCAACUUUGGUAGCACAGAUCCAGGGCUGUCAGUCCCUUCUUGUUCAAGGAGUUCACUCGCACCAAAGCUCUACUUGUAGAGUUCAGAGGAAGCAACAACUUCACAAUCUGUAGAAUU